GACGAACGCUGGCGGCGUGCUUAACACAUGCAAGUCGAACGGAAAGGCCCUGCUUUUGUGGGGUGCUCGAGUGGCGAACGGGUGAGUAACACGUGAGUAACCUGCCCUUGACUUUGGGAUAACUUCAGGAAACUGGGGCUAAUACCGGAUAGGAGCUCCUGCUGCAUGGUGGGGGUUGGAAAGUUUCGGCGGUUGGGGAUGGACUCGCGGCUUAUCAGCUUGUUGGUGGGGUAGUGGCUUACCAAGGCUUUGACGGGUAGCCGGCCUGAGAGGGUGACCGGCGACAUUGGGACUGAGAUACGGCCCAGAGUCCUACGGGAGGCAGCAGUGGGGAAUAUUGCACAAUGGGCGGAAGCCUGAUGAAGCAACGCCGCGUGCGGGAUGACGGCCUUCGGGUUGUAAACAGCUUUCGACUGUGACGAAGAGUGAGUGACGGUAAUGGGUAAAGAAGCACCGGCUAACUACGUG
rnacentral:rRNA from 1 species